GAAAUGCGAUAAGUAAUGUGAAUUGCAGAAUUCAGUGAAUCAUCGAAUCUUUGAACGCACAUUGCGCCCCUUGGUAUUCCGGGGGGCAUGCCUGUUCGAGCGUCAUUACAACCCUCAAGCUCUGCUUGGUAUUGGGCGUCCCCGGCAACGGGGUGCCCUAAAAUCAGUGGCGGUGCCGUCUGGCUCUAAGCGUAGUAAAUCUCUCGCUCUGGAUGCCCGGUGGAUGCUCGCCAGUAACCCCCAAUUUUUUACAGGUUGACCUCGGAUCAGGUAGGGAUACCCGCUGAACUUAA
rnacentral:misc_RNA from 1 species